UACGGGGGGGGCAAGCGUUGUUCGGAAUUACUGGGCGUAAAGGGCUCGUAGGUGGCCAACUAAGUCGGACGUGAAAUCCCUCAGCUUAACUGGGGAACUGCGUCCGAUACUGGAUGGCUUGAGUUUGGGAGAGGGAUGCGGAAUUCCAGGUGUAGCGGUGAAAUGCGUAGAUAUCGGGAGGAACACCUGUGGCGAAGGCGGCCCCCUGGUUGGAUACUGACGCUGAGGCACGAAAGCGUGGGGAGCAAACAGG
rnacentral:rRNA from 1 species